AGAAAAUACAAUUACGUGGUGUUGUAAUUGCAGAAAGAACGAUGCGGUUAAUUAACUGAAAUAACGGACUUAAGACUAAACAGAAAAGAAUAAUAAAUUUUACACAAAUAAUCACAUAUAAUUUAAUUCAAAGGAAAAAACAAACGAAUCUUAGUCGAAGUAGUAUUCUUUAUCGAUAGAUCUUUAUCGAGGAUUAAGCGUGUAUUGAACACCACUUAUUUCUCGAUCCAAGAAAAUAUCUAUCAUCUAAAAUCUUCUAGUUAAAUAAAGCGAGGAGUACGAAACAAAAUUUGUAAACACGUGGAUAACGGCAGUGUCGGUAUCGUUCGCCAUGUUGAAUACUGUACGCAUGCGCUGAAAUGUAAAUGGUACCGCGUGCGGAAAUGCGGUUACGUCACCGCUUUUCGUUUCCGCGACACAUCAGUUCAUCCACCCUAAUGGCGACUUCCAUUAACUCUCCACUCCGUCGACCUUAAAUCAUCGAAAUUUAAUACUAUCAGUCCCCUAAAUGAAAGGAAAAAAACCUAGAAAAGGACUGACGAUGUAACAACGUGUUUGCCAGACGAGUAAUAAAAACGAGGUGGGUUCUAGAAACAAUAUUUGUUUAUCAUACAUCAUGUGGGUUUCGUAGCUACGAACUAUGACGUGAGUUGGUGACGCGCCACCUCUUGACUUCUAUUAACUUUGAGAGUACACCCUUUGUUUACUGCUACAACGAGAAGAAAAACACUAAGUUUACUUACCUGUCUUUGUUAGAAUUCUUUCGUACUAUGGCCGAGUGGUUGGACUGGUCCCACUCCAAGACGUGUUGCCAUAGCAACAGAAGUGGGUCGACAGAGGGGUCGUUCCAGUAGGACAAAUUUAAACACUUAAUUAUUUGUAAUCGGGUCGGAAUAGUCGGUCAUAAUGUGAAAUAGCCCUUACUCAUUCAAAAAUUCGAGUGAAAUUAAUAUGGAUAUUAAUUGAAACUGAUUGAUGACACUAUUUAACUAGGACAGAUUGUUGACAGAUGAAAAACAUUUUAAACUGAGAAAAUGGAGAUAAAAGUAGAGCCAGAAAAUGAAUAUUCAGAAUUUACAUUGAACCCAUGUGAUGUAAAGUUUGAAGUGUUAAAGAAUUGCAAGAAAGAAUUAAAUAUGGAUACCAAAAAGUUUUGUAGAAGAAUUAAAUCUGAACCUUCAGAUAAUAAAUAUACACGAAUAAAUACUUAUGAAAAUUCAAGUUCAAGAAAUAAUACAAACUAUUCCAAUUAUUGGAGUAAUUCCAGUUAUAACAGCGAAAUAGAUUGUAAGAAAAAGGAAAUAAAAGAAGAGAAACGUGACAUUAAACAUGGCAUAAAAUUAGAAUGUAAAGUCGUUUUGAAAAGAUUGAAUUUUAAAGUCAAAAUUGAAGAUUGUAAAGAAGUUUAUCUCCCAGAUGAAUACAAAGAUUUAGAGCCUGUCAAGAACGAAUUCUUCAUUCCCGACAGAAAUUCUAACAGAAAUGAAACGAACGUACAAAGCAAAUGUAAACUCAAACUCAGCGGUUAUAAAACCUUCUACUCAAAACAUAUUGUUGACAAAUGAAAAACAUUUUAAAUUGAGAAAAUGAAGAUAAAAGUAGAGCCAGAAAAUGAAUAUUCACAAUUUACAUUGAACCCAGGUGAGAUAAAGUUUGAAGUUUUAAAGAAUUGCAAGAAAGAAUUAAAUACGGAUACCAAAAAAUUCUGUAGAAGAAUUAAAUCUGAACCUUCAGACCAUAAAUAUACACAGGUAAAUACUUAUGAAAAUUCAAUUUGAAGAAAUAAUACAAACUGUUCUAAUUGUUGGAAUAAUUCCGGUUAUAACAGUGAAAUAGGUAAGAGACUUUA
rnacentral:misc_RNA from 1 species